AUGGGAACGCGAAGAACCUUACCUACUCUUGACAUCCAGAGAACUUUCCAGAGAUGGAUUGGUGCCUUCGGGAACUCUGAGACAGGUGCUGCAUGGCUGUCGUCAGCUCGUGUUGUGAAAUGUUGGGUUAAAGUCCCGCAACGAGCGCAACCCGUUAUCCUUUGUUGCCAGCGGUUAGGCCGGGAACUCAAAGGAGACUGCCAGUGAUAAACUGAGGAAGGUGGGGAUGACGUCNAAGUCAUCAUGGCCUUACGAGUAGGGCUACACACGUGCUACAAUGGCGCAUACAAAGAGAAGCGACCUCGCGAGAGCAAGCGGACCUCAUAAAGUGCGUCGUAGUCCGGAUUGGAGUCUGCAACUCGACUCCAUGAAGUCGGAAUCGCUAGUAAUCGUAGAUCAGAAUGCUACGGUGAAUACGUUCCCGGGUCUUGUACACACCG
rnacentral:rRNA from 1 species